UACGUAGGGUGCGAGCGUUGUCCGGAAUUAUUGGGCGUAAAGAGCUUGUAGGCGGUCUGUCGCGUCUGCUGUGAAAAUCCGGGGCUCAACCCCGGACUUGCAGUGGGUACGGGCAGACUAGAGUGUGGUAGGGGAGACUGGAAUUCCUGGUGUAGCGGUGAAAUGCGGCAGAUAUUGGGAGGAACACCCUGCGGCGAAGGCGGCUACCUGGACA
rnacentral:rRNA from 1 species